GCUCGAGUGGCGAACGGGUGAGUAACACGUGAGUAACCUGCCCUUGACUUUGGGAUAACUUCAGGAAACUGGGGCUAAUGCCGGAUAGGAGCUCCUGCUGCAUGGUGGGGGUUGGAAAGUUUCGGCGGUUGGGGAUGGACUCGCGGCUUAUCAGCUUGUUGGUGGGGUAGUGGCUUACCAAGGCUUUGACGGGUAGCCGGCCUGAGAGGGUGACCGGCCACAUUGGGACUGAGAUACGGCCCAG
rnacentral:rRNA from 1 species